GAAAUGCGAUACGUAGUGUGAAUUGCAGAAUUCAGUGAAUCAUCGAAACCUUGAACGCACAUUGCGCUUGCAGUCACCUGCAAGCAUGUCUGUUUGAGUGUCGUCUAUUCAUCUCACCAAAACCAGCACUGGUUGUGGUGGUGCUGAGCGUUUGCGCCCCAGCGCAAUCGUUUGAAAGGGAGAGAGGGAUGACGGAGUGCCUGAACUCGCGUUCAAAGGUCUCUGCAGCCCACGGGUGUCUUUGGCAUGCAUCGUCAUGAUCUCGCAUCCACACUGCAGGUAAGAGGCCUUCGAGUGAGAUCUCGCUCCACCUCAACUCGCUGCACCCCUCGGAAGAGGAAGUGCAGACGAUCUUCAAAACUGCGACCUCAAAUCAGGCAAGGCUACCCGCCGAAUUUAA
rnacentral:misc_RNA from 1 species